rnacentral:rRNA from 1 species
UCUCAGUUCGGAUUGUAGGCUGCAACUCGCCUACAUGAAGUCGGAAUCGCUAGUAAUCGCGGAUCAGCACGCCGCGGUGAAUACGUUCCCGGGCCUUGUACACACCGCCCGUCACACCACGGGAGUUGGGAGUACCCGAAGUAGGUUGCCUAACCGCAAGGAGGGCGCUUCCUAAGGUAAGACCGAUGACUGGGGUGAAGUCGUAACAAGGUAGCCGUAUCGGAAGGUGCGGCUGGAUCACCUCCUUUCUAAGGAA